rnacentral:rRNA from 1 species
UACGAAGGGGGCUAGCGUUGCUCGGAAUCACUGGGCGUAAAGCGCACGUAGGCGGCUUCUUAAGUCAGGGGUGAAAUCCCGGAGCUCAACUUCGGAACUGCCUUUGAUACUGGCGAUCUCGAGUCCGAUAGAGGUGGGUGGAAUUCCUGGUGUAGCGGUGAAAUGCGCAGAUAUCAGGAGGAACACCCGUGGCGAAAGCGGCUCUCUGGGACGGUACUGACGCUGAGACGCGAAAGCGUGGGGAGCAAACAGG